UACAGAGGGUGCGAGCGUUGUCCGGAAUCACUGGGCGUAAAGGGCGCGUAGGUGGUGGCUUAAGCGUGCGGUGAAAGCUCGGGGCUCAACCCCGAGUCGGCCGUGCGAACUGGGCUCACUGGAGCAUAGUAGAGGCAGGUGGAAUUCCGGGUGUAGCGGUGGAAUGCGUAGAGAUCCGGAAGAACACCGGUGGCGAAGGCGGCCUGCUGGGCUAUGGCUGACACUGAGGCGCGAAAGCGUGGGGAGCAAACAGGG
rnacentral:rRNA from 1 species